rnacentral:rRNA from 1 species
AUUGAACGCUGGCGGCAGGCCUAACACAUGCAAGUCGAACGAGUGGCGGACGGGUGAGUAAUGUCUGGGAAACUGCCUGAUGGAGGGGGAUAACUACUGGAAACGGUAGCUAAUACCGCAAACCAUCGGAUGUGCCCAGAUUGGAUUAGCUAGUAGGUGGGGUAAAGGCUAACCUAGGCGACGAGCCCUAGCUGUUCUGCGAGGAUGACCAGCCACACUGGAACUGAGACACGGUCCAGACUCCUACGGGAGGCAGCAGUGGGGAAUAUUGCACAAUGGGCGCAAGCCUGCUGCAGCCCUGCCGCGUGUAUGAAGAAUUCCUUCGGGUUGUAAAGUCCUUUCAGCGGGGAGGCGUUACCCGCAGAAGAAGCACCGGCUAACUCCGUGCCAGCAGCCGCGGUAAUAC